AGCAGUAAGGAAUAUUGGUCAAUGGAGGCAACUCUGAACCAGCCAUGCCGCGUGCAGGAAGACUGCCCUAUGGGUUGUAAACUGCUUUUAUCCGGGAAUAAACCACGAUACGUGUAUUGUGCUGAAUGUACCGGAAGAAUAAGGAUCGGCUAACUCCGUGCCAGCAGCCGCGGUAAUACGGAGGAUCCAAGCGUUAUCCGGAUUUAUUGGGUUUAAAGGGCGCGUAGGCGGCCUGUUAAGUCAGGGGUGAAAGACGGUAGCUCAACUAUCGCAGUGCCUUUGAUACUGACGGGCUUGAAUGAACUAGAGGUAGGCGGAAUGAGACAAGUAGCGGUGAAAUGCAUAGAUAUGUCUCAGAACACCGAUUGCGAAGGCAGCUUACUAUGGUUUAAUUGACGCUGAGG
rnacentral:rRNA from 1 species